UACGUAGGGUGCAAGCGUUAAUCGGAAUUACUGGGCGUAAAGCGUGCGCAGGCGGUUAUGCAAGCCAGAUGGGAAAUCCCCGGGCUCAACCUGGGAACUGCAUUUGUGACUGCAUAGCUGGAGUGCGGCAGAGGGGGAUGGAAUUCCGCGUGUAGCAGUGAAAUGCGUAGAUAUGCGGAGGAACACCGAUGGCGAAGGCAAUCCCCUGGGCCUGCACUGACGCUCAUGCACGAAAGCGUGGGGAGCAAACAGG
rnacentral:rRNA from 1 species